AUUGAACGCUGGCGGCAGGCCUAACACAUGCAAGUCGAACGAGUGGCGGACGGGUGAGUAAUGUCUGGGAAACUGCCUGAUGGAGGGGGAUAACUACUGGAAACGGUAGCUAAUACCGCAUACCAUCGGAUGUGCCCAGCUGGGAUUAGCUAGUAGGUGGGGUAACGGCUCACCUAGGCGACGAUCCCUAGCUGGUCUGAGAGGAUGAGCAGCACCACUGGAACAGAAACACGGUCCAGACUCCUAAGGGAAGCAGCGUAGGGGAAUAUUGCACAAUGGGAGCAAGCCUGAUGCAGCCAUGCCGCGGAUAGGAAUAAAGCAUGCGGGUUGUAAAGGACUUUCAGCGGGGAGGCGUUACCCGCAGAAGAAGCACCGGCUAACUCCGUGCCAGCAGCCACGGUAAUUC
rnacentral:rRNA from 1 species